rnacentral:rRNA from 1 species
GUGUCAGCCGCCGCGGUAAUACGUAGGUGGCAAGCGUUGUCCGGAAUUAUUGGGCGUAAAGCGCGCGCAGGCGGUCCUUUAAGUCUGAUGUGAAAUCUCGCGGCUCAACCGCGAGCGGUCAUUGGAAACUGGGGGACUUGAGUGCAGAAGAGGAAAGUGGAAUUCCACGUGUAGCGGUGAAAUGCGUAGAGAUGUGGAGGAACACCAGUGGCGAAGGCGACUUUCUGGUCUGUAACUGACGCUGAGGCGCGAAAGCGUGGGGAGCAAACAGGAUUAGAAACCCCCGUAGUCC